rnacentral:rRNA from 1 species
AUUGAACGCUGGCGGCAUGCCUUACACAUGCAAGUCGAACGGCAGCACGGGUGCUUGCACCUGGUGGCGAGUGGCGAACGGGUGAGUAAUACAUCGGGACGUACCUUAUCGUGGGGGAUAACGCAGCGAAAGCUGUGCUAAUACCGCAUACGCCCUGAGGGGGAAAGCGGGGGAUCGCAAGACCUCGCGCGAUUAGAGCGGCCGAUGCCUGAUUAGCUUGUUGGUGGGGUAAAAGCCCACCAAGGCGACGAUCAGUAGCUGGUCUGAGAGGACGAUCAGCCACACUGGGACUGAGACACGGCCCAGACUCCUACGGGAGGCAGCAGUGGGGAAUUUUGGACAAUGGGGGCAACCCUGAUCCAGCAAUGCCGCGUGAGUGAAGAAGGCCUUCGGGUUGUAAAGCUCUUUUGUCAGGGAAGAAACACCGGCUCUAACACAGUCCGGGAAUGACGGUACCUGAAGAAUAAGCACCGGCUAACUACGUGCCAGCCGCUGCAGUAA